AACGUGAGCAACCUGCCUCUAAGUGGGGAAUAACGGCUGGAAACGGUCGCUAAUACCGCAUAAUAUAGCGGGGUCGCAUGACCUUGCUAUCAAAGAUUUAUCGCUUAGAGAUGGGCUCGCGUCCGAUUAGCUGGAUGGUGGGGUAACGGCCCACCAUGGCGACGAUCGGUAGCCGGACUGAGAGGUUGAUCGGCCACAUUGGGACUGAGACACGGCCCAG
rnacentral:rRNA from 1 species